CUCCGUAGGGAUCUGCUUCUCUGCUGGUGGAAAGAGAAGCUUCCCUAGGCAUCUCUCUCACACUCGACGCUACCGGGGCGGUUCUGGGACGGCUCCUCAGGCCGCUGCCCGCCCUCUUUUCUCCGAACGUCAGUCAUUUCCUCGAAAUCAAUCCAGGCACGCAGCUGCCCAUUAAAGUUAAUUAAGCACGCGCCCGAGACACCGACAAGAGCGUGCGCCCCGGGCAGAGCCCAGAAUGCCUCCCGGGAAGCCCCUUCCGGAAGCUCCGGCCCAGGGGGGUCACAGUCCGAUUCCGAGGGACCCAGCUGCCCACCGCUGACCUCUCCCGCCCGCCCCCACCCCGAAAUCUCCGCAAUCCUGGGAGACAGCUGCAGCCCCAGCGAGCGAGCCGAGCCCCGCGCAGCCCAGAGCAGGUGCACCUGCAGAGCCUGGCGUUGGCUUUGCGUCGAUUAAACACCUCCUCUUCGCACAAACCCCGGCGCCCCUCGUCCACUGUCUGGACCCAAGGACCCCCUCUCGGGUCGAGGAGGGGCGGACGGCAGCUCGGAACCCACAAGCCUGAGAGUGUCCGCUCGCCCGCAGAAGGCAGCCGCCACCUGCUCUCCAAGGUCCCGCUCCAGCCCCUCCGUCGCGGGUCCCUUACCUUGUGGCCUUUCCCCGGGGGACACCUGACGUUAUUGGAGGCUCCUGCUGUCUGAUUCAUGUCCGGAGGAAGUUGGGGACCGAUUCUCUACCUUCGAAACUUCCUUGGCGCGUGGAGGGUGACAAAGGUGCGCGUCUCCCGGAGGCGAGGUGGGUCCUCCCGCUCCAGCCAAGCCCCGGCGACGUCUCCCCGCGACAGGUUUCCGCGGGGCCCCUGGUCCAGGGAUGCUUAGCCCUGCAGCCCGAGCCGGAGAAAGAGAAGCAGCUGCUGGGACCCCGGAGGGAGCCGGGCCGGCGCCGGCGGCUCCGAGGGCGCUCUGCCCAGGGCUGCCUUCCCGGGAAACAGUCCAGGACUCUCAAGACCAGAAGCGCGAGCAAAUCCGAAAAGAGCUCCGAGGAGGGGCGAGGAGGCAGAAGGCCCAAAUACAGUAAAUCAAGAAAAUGCUGAGAGUAUCUUGUGUCUGGCAAGGUUUUUAACCAGUACACAGUGGCACCUCCACUGAGACUGCAGAGGGAUGGCAGAAGACGGAAAUUCCAUGAGCCAGAACAGCUGCCAAGAGCUUCACUCAGGCCCCAGUGAGAGACCACCAGGAACCCUAAGCUACCACAGGCCUUUUUCUGCCACUGCAGUAUCUUCGUGCUGAGGGCGAACGGUAAUGUUAUGAUUUUCUUUAUUAUUACGGAAAUGAAUUUAUCACCUCUGUAGUUGUAUAAUGGUCAUCACAAUCCAGUUUCACAGGAUGUCCAUCCCACAGCCCAAGCACAUCCCCCACCCCCCAAACUGUCUCCUCCGGAGACCAAAAGUUUUUCAAUGUCUGUGAGUCAGCAUCUGUUCUGCAAAGAAGUUCCGUCUGUCCUUUUUUCAGUUAAAGCAUUUGAUGUUGGUGUCUCCUUGUAUGGCUGACUUCACUUAGCAGGAUAAUGUCUAGGUCCAUUCAUGUUGCUAAAAAUGCUGGUAUUUCGUUCCUUUUAAUGGCUGAGGAAUAUUCCAUUGUGUGUAUGUACCACAUCUUCUUGAUCCACUCCUCUGUCGAUGGACAUUUAGGUUGUUUCCAUGUCUUGGCUGUUGCAAACAGUGCUGCAGUGCACAUCGGAGUACAUGUGUCUUUGUGAGUCGUGGUUUUCUCUGGAUAGAUGCCCAGGAGUGGGAUUGCUGGAUCCAGUGCUAGCUCUAUGUUUAGUUUUCUGAGGCAUCUCCAUACUGUUUUCCACGUGGUUGCACCAAUUGACACUCCCACCCACCGUGUACUAGGGUUCCUUUUUCUCCACACCCUCUCCAGCACU
ensembl:lncRNA